GCGCACGUGGCGGAAUGGUAGACGCGCCAGCUUGAGGGGCUGGUGGGGCGGAGCCCCGUGGAAGUUCGAGUCUUCUCGUGCGCA
rnacentral:tRNA from 1 species